ensembl:snRNA U6 U6 spliceosomal RNA
GUGCUUGUUUUGGCAACACAUACACUAAAACUGGAAUGAGUCAGAGAAAAUUAGCAAGGCCCCUGCACAAGGAUGCACAUUGGUGAAGUGUUCCAUAUUCUU